rnacentral:rRNA from 1 species
GACGAACGCUGGCGGCGUGCGUAAUACAUGCAAGUAGGACGCUGAAGGAGGAGCUUGCUUCUCUGGAUGAGUUGCGAACGGGUGAGUCACGCGUAGGUAACCUGCCUGGUAGCGGGGGAUAACUAUUGUAAACGAUACCUAAUACCGCAUAAUAGCAGUUAUAGCACUGAUAACUGUUUGAAAGGUGCAAAUGCAUCACUACCAGAUGGACCUGUGUUGUAUUAGCUAGUUGGUGGGGUAACGGCUGCACCAAGGCGACGAUACAUAGCCGACCUGAGAGGGUGAUCGGCCACACUGGGACUGAGACACGGCCCAGACUCGUACGGGAGGCAGCAGUAGGGAAUCUUCGGCAAUGGACGGAAGUACUGACCGAGCAACGCCGCGUGAGUGAAGAAGGUUUUCGGAUCGUAAAGCUCUGUUGUAAGAGAAGAACGAGUGUGAGAGUGGAAAGUUCACAC